CAAAAAUUGAGCAGAAAAACAUUAAAACUACAUGGAUGUCGAAAUGUUAAUCAUUUGAGUGUAAGAACUUCAUACGUUGUGUUUGAUUGCUUUACGAAGUGUAAAGAGGACCUUGGCCCAUCGGUGUUUCUGUUCUUAUCCAUACCCAUAUCUUAUCUUUCAAAGCUAAUCCAUCUCACUACAAGUGUGGAGAACUGUGCUUACUUAGGUGCAAUGUGGAGAAAGUAAGACUUCUAUUUAGCAAGAUCUCAGCACAGGAUCCACUUCUCACCUAAAUAAUGGCAUUUUAUCCCUCCUGUUAUCUCAAAACAAACAUCUACCAGGAAGCACUGAAAUGAAAGCUUUCUCCCUACCCACAAAGCUCUUGUGCUAUGCUUUCCUACUUAUCAUCAGAAUAGUUUGCAAAAUGCUUAAGACUCAGGAAAUUUUGCCAGAUGGAACUCUCAGAAAAACCAGCAGUUGUGGACAAGGGGCCUUCAGGCCUGAGUUGAGGUCUGCUCCUUUUACCAAGGUAUUGACUUCAAUGACCACUCAGGAAACAAAGCUCCAAGUAAGAUGGCUGCAGGAGUUUAUUUUGACCCACACAUUAUGAAUGUUUUAAUAAAUAGCUAUGCUCUCAUAUAAACUCCUGUCUCCUCACCUUAAAGAUGAGCUCUGGCUUCUCACUUCUGCUCAAAGCAUAUCUGCAUCAUUUCUAUUACUUCCUUCAUUUUCUAAAUGUGAAAACCAGUCAUGCAAAUUGUUAUGGUGUCAAUUCCACACAAGCUUUCCUCUAGUUACUCCACUUCAUUCCACACAGGAUGAUAACUAUUAAAUCAAACUCUAUUUACUAGUCAUUACAUUGUAUCAUUACUUUCUAAAUUAUCUUAUAGACUUCUGAUUACCCCAUUAUGUACUGCAGAGGGAUAUCUCAAUUGGAGCAGGAAUGCUGGUGAUUCUAGGAGGCAAAACAACAAGCCAGUUCCCAAGUAAAAUGUCUUUCC
ensembl:lncRNA